rnacentral:rRNA from 1 species
UACAGAGGUGGCAAGCGUUGUUCGGAAUUACUGGGCGUAAAGGGCGCGUAGGCGGCCUUCUAAGUCAGACGUGAAAUCCCCCGGCUUAACCUGGGAACUGCGUCUGAUACUGGAGGGCUUGAGUGCGGGGGAGGGAUGUGGAAUUCCAGGUGUAGCGGUGAAAUGCGUAGAUAUCUGGAGGAACACCGGUGGCGAAGGCGGCAUCCUGGACCGACACUGACGCUGAGGCGCGAAAGCUAGGGUAGCAAACGGG